rnacentral:lncRNA from 1 species
CUAGAAGUUAUUUUAGUAAUUUAUUUCUCCUCUCACCCAACCAAAUUUAGUUUAAUUAUUUAAGUAGUGACAAAGUAGUAGAGUGGCUUUAAGUUUUUGCUCAGAGCCCAGAGGAUCUGUGUUGGAAGCAGAUCUUGGCUCUAAGGCAAGAGGCAACUCACUUCACCUCACUUCAGUUCUCAGCCUCCUAGUGGUAAAGAUAGUGCCAACUUGCAUUAGCAGAGGGAGUCACCGCAUCUGUGAGGUCCCUUUACCAAUGAAAUUACAAGUCUAGUUCCUAUCCUGGGCAGAGAGAUGGCUCAGUGGAUAGAGUGCUGGGGCCAGAGUCAGAAAGACUUGAGAUCAUAUCUGACCUCAGACAUUUACUAACUCUGUGAGCUUGGACAAGUUAUUUAACCCUUAUUUGCUUCAGUUUCCUUAUCUGUAAAAAUAAUUACACCUAUCUCACAGAGUUUUUGUAAGGAUUAAAUAAGAAAAUAUUUGUAAAGCACUUACCACAGUGUUUAGCACGUAGGUGUUCUAUUUAAAUGUUUGCUACUAUCAUUAUGUAUUAUUCUUAUUCCAGUCCCAGUCCCAAACAUCUAACCUCUGACUUCAAUGUACUUCUUCCCUAAUAUCUAUUUCCCCUUUCACAUGGCUUUUAGGACUUUGCUUUAAGAAUCUGAGUCACUGGAAUUAAAUCAUGCUAUAACAUGAUGAUGGAAAAACAUGGAAAGAUUUACAUGAACUAAUGCAAAGUGAAGCCAACAGAAAAGCAUUGAACAUGGUAACAGAAAUAUCUUUUGAUGAACAACUAUGAAUGACCUAGUUAUUCUAAGAAAUAUAGUGAAUCAAGAUAAUCCUAAAGACUUGUGAAAAAUGCCAUCUCCCACCAGAGAAAAAACUGAUGGAGUCUAAUUGCAAACCAAAACAUACUAUAUUUCUCUUUCUUUGUUUCUUUCUUUGUUUCUUUCUUUCUCUCUCUCUCUCUCUCUCUCUCUCUUUCUUUCUUUCUUUCUUUCUUUCUUUCUUUCUUUCUUUCUUUCUUUCUUUCUUUCUUUCUUUCUUUCUUCUUUCUUUCUCUUUCUUCCUGCCUUCCUUUCUCUUUGUUUCUUUGUUUAUUUCCUCUAUAAAAUAAAUUUUGUGUAAUUUAAUUGUUAUGGAACUGAAUCAGUAAAUCAACUUAGGAAGAAUUUCUACCAAAUUGGCUUGGCUUAUCCAUGAGCAGUCGAUAUUUCUCCAGUUGUCUGGAUCUGCCUUUAUUUGUGCAAAAAAGUUUUGUAAUUAUGUUUAUAUAAUCAUUGGGUUUAUCUUGGCAGAAAGACUCUUAAGGAGUUUAUAUGAAAUAAUACCACUACACAAUAUGAUCCCAAAAAUACUGGAAAGGGCCUACUUGUACAAAAAUAUUUAUAGCAGCUUUUUGUGGUGUCAAAGAAAUAGAAACUAAAAGAAUGUCCAACAAAGGGGGAAUUGUUGAAUAAGGUAUAGUAUAUGACUGUAAUUUGUCAUAAAAAAUGAUGAACAAGAUGAUCACAAAAAAAAACAUAGAGAGACUUAUAUGAAGUAAUGCAAAGUGAAGUGAUCAGAAAAUUCUGUAUGUGGUAACAGCAAUAAAGUACAAUAAUCAACAAGGAAUGACUUAAUU